GUCCGUCCAACGCAUCGCCGUUGGAGCCGUUUCGGUGGAACGUCAGAAUCUCCUCGUUAACGGUUCCAUGGACGGUCUGUGGCAGUUGACGUCGACCCGUUUGCACGUCAACGGUUUCUUUAAUAUUAAAACCGAUAGACAACCGUAACGUAGUGCACAGGGUUAUUUUACAUUGAUCGACGGUAAAACUCCCGUCGUCGGUAGGCUAGCGUUAGCUGCUAACCUCCCCUUUGUUCACACGGACGACUGGUGAUUUAUCAUUGGAGAAUACUGUAAACACAAACAUGGACUUGAGCCAAACAUGGGCGGAAAGACGGCGAUGUAAAAGCUGUUUUUUUUAGAUUAAUCACAGUGUAGCUGUCAGAGUUGGUCGUAUUUUUCCUCAAAAUAAUUUGCCAGUAUUUUAUGGCCUAUGUUCUUAAACAGGGGUGGCAACGUUAGCUCAUUGGCUAACUCGGCUACACUAGCCUAGCCGACUAUCGUUUAUUUGCAUGGCUGUAGGGGACACUCAAAAUGUCCGCCGACAGAGUCUGUGGAAAUAUUUCGCAUUUCAUCUUUUCGAAAUUUGAAAACCACAAAUGAAAUAUUUCUACGUAUUCCCGGCGUUUAUUCGCCAUAGCCGUUAACUAACAUGCUGCUACUACGGUAAUUUCCGUCUGCUGGCUUUAAUCCAACCGCAUGGUUGAGACCCAGUUAGCAUGUAGCUCCUCAGCUCAAGGAACCAGGCGUGCUUCUUGCUAACGUAGCCGGCCGCGAGUCUACCACGUGUGAACGUGCGGCUUAAAUAGGGCAGUAGGUCUGCCGUUGCUGAACUUUGUCAUGGUGUCAGCGACCAUAUCGCAGUAUGUGAUAUCAUUAUCUCUCUUAUCUCGCACGACAGAAAUAAGGCCCUAAACUUUGAGAAUGACUAUUAUCAUUGAAUUGUAGUAAUUGCUGGCUCAUAGGACACAUGUCGCAUUCAAGAGUGCAGCUGGCAUGAGGCUCCCCAACUAUCAUGAUCUAUUAAAAGGCCACAAAAGUCUUGGGUACAGUCAAAUGGUUCAACGUCAGGAAUGGAUAUGGUUUUAUCAAUAGGAAUGAUACUAAAGAGGACGUUUUUGUACACCAGACAGCCAUCAAAAAGAACAACCCGAGAAAAUACCUUCGCAGUGUUGGAGAUGGAGAAACUGUGGAGUUUGAUGUAGUGGAGGGAGAGAAGGGAGCAGAGGCAGCAAAUGUCACUGGCCCAGGUGGUGUUGCAGUCCAGGGAAGUAAGUACGCCGCUGAUAGGAACCGCUAUAGGCGCUAUCCAAGGCGAAGGGGUCCUCCCCGUGGUGGAGAAUAUCCAGAGAACUACCAGAGUGACGGAGAGGGUGAGCCAGGCAAUGGAGGCCGUGACAAAGGCAGCCGAGAUGGGGGAGAGAGCGCCCCCGAAGGAGACUCACAGCAGCCACAACAGCGCAGACAAGCGUACCCUGGCAGACGGCGUUACCCCCCUUACUUUGGAGGUGAGGGUGACGAGGGCCAAGGAGGUCCAGACCAGGGCAACAAACCAGUGAGGCCGAACUACUACAGAGGCUUCAGAUCAAGCCGGGGUCCACCCCGUCCCAGACCGGUGCGGGACGGUGAGGAGGACAAGGAAAAUCGGGGUUCCGAAGGUGGUCAGGAUCAACAGCCCCGCCAGCGGCGUUACCGUCGCAACUUCAACUACCGCCGCAGACGCCCGACGACCGGUGGCAAACCCGGCCAAGAAAACAAGGAGCCCAAGACAGGAGGUGACCCAUCUGCAGAGAAAACGUCCGCUCCCGAGGCACAGCAGGGUGGGGCCGAGUAGGAAAGAACCUGCCCACCGGCACCUACCAUCUUUUACCAUCGUCCGGUUUUUUUGUCAACAAGAAGAAACAUCAAACAAGAUCUGAGCAAUAAAGAUUUGACUUGACGAUCGUCACAAGCUUGCACCAUGCAUUUGACCAGAUUACCACCGAUUGCCUGCAGAAUCUAUGCAGACCUGUUUUUUUUCCAUUAUUUUUAUGUGACAGCAACAAAACAUUUUAGGGAAACAGCAAAUGUUUUUCUAAAUCGAUCCUAAGUUUUUACACCAAAUGGUUUUUAAAGAAAAAAAAGGAAUUUGAUAUCUGGUCAGUUUGACAUUUUUAAAUAACUUUUUAUGUAUUCAGACAUUUUAACAAAAUGCAAGCUCAAAUAAAAGUCCAGAAACCAGA